rnacentral:rRNA from 1 species
UACGUAGGGUGCAAGCGUUGUCCGGAAUUAUUGGGCGUAACGAGCUCGUAGGCGGUCUGUCGCGUCGGCUGUGAAAACUCGGGGCUCAACUCCGAGCUUGCAGUCGAUACGGGCAGGCUAGAGUUCGGCAGGGGAGACUGGAAUUCCUGGUGUAGCGGUGAAAUGCGCAGAUAUCAGGAGGAACACCGGUGGCGAAGGCGGGUCUCUGGGCCGAUACUGACGCUGAGGAGCGAAAGCAUGGGGAGCGAACAGG